rnacentral:rRNA from 1 species
UGGGGAAUAUUGCACAAUGGGCGCAAGCCUGAUGCAGCAACGCCGCGUGAAGGAUGAAGGCUUUCGGGUUGUAAACUUCUUUGACGAGGGACGAAAAAAAUGACGGUACCUCGAAAACAAGCCACGGCUAACUACGUGCCAGCAGCCGCGGUAAUACGUAGGUGGCAAGCGUUGUUCGGAUUUACUGGGUGUAAAGGGCGUGUAGGCGGGACUACAAGUCAGAUGUGAAAAUUAUGGGCUCAACCCAUAAACUGCAUUUGAAACUGUAGUUCUUGAGUGAUGGAGAGGUAAGCGGAAUUCCUAGUGUAGCGGUGAAAUGCGUAAAUAUUAGGAGGAACACCGGUGGCGAAGGCGGCUUACUGGACAUUAACUGACGCUGAGGCGCGAAAGCGUGGGGAGCAAACA